rnacentral:miRNA from 1 species
AGCCAAGGAUGACUUGCCGGCGUUU